rnacentral:rRNA from 1 species
UACGAAGGGGGCUAGCGUUGUUCGGAAUCACUGGGCGUAAAGGGCGCGUAGGCGGCUUUGUAAGUCGGGGGUGAAAGCCUGUGGCUCAACCACAGAAUUGCCUUCGAUACUGCAUGGCUUGAGUCCGGAAGAGGUUAGUGGAACUGCGAGUGUAGAGGUGAAAUUCGUAGAUAUUCGCAAGAACACCAGUGGCGAAGGCGGCUGACUGGUCCGGUUCUGACGCUGAGGCGCGAAAGCGUGGGGAGCAAACAGG